ACUCAUUUCCCAAACACCCCUAAACUCCAGUACUCCACUGGCGCGGCUUCGGCGUAAAACCCUCGCCCAAAAACCCCUGAAGACACCUUUUGGAUUUCUGUUUCUGACGAUUUUUUCGUACAAAUCUGAAAUUUGAGCAACGUCUCCUUUGUUUUUUGUAUCGCUAAGAUGGAAUUCUGGUACGAAGAUUGUAAAUCGUUGUUGGAACAAGUUAAUCUUCAAGAGAAGGAGCUUAGGAACAAGAGAAGGUGGUUAAUCGGAUUACCAACGUCCGGAAACGAAGCUGGCAAACUAAAAGAAUCUAAAUCUCAACCUGAAAGGCCCAUACCUGAAUACCUACUUAGGGAAGAUGAUGUAUUCUAUGAAACUAUAAGAUCUUUUGUCAAAAAGCUAGUUGAAGAACCUGAAUCCAAAAACAAAUACCAAAUUCUUCAUGAUGACAUGCAACUUAUUCAUUCACCUACAGACAUUACAACUCUUCUAUUCCUAAUCGAUGAUAUGACAAAUCAAGGCCUUUUCCAAUUUGCCAAACUACUGACAAGUGGUUCCAUUGAAUUUGAAAAAACCCGUUGGAAAAUGAAACAAAUCAUCAAACAACACCUCUUGGAAAACAAUACCCCAAAGAUAAAACUAUCCAACGAUCAUUUAUCAUUACUCAAGAAUCCACAAAAUUUCCGUUGGAAUCACGAAUUCCGUUUCAUUCCCGAUUCCGGUUCUUCCCAUUCCGCUGUUUAUAAGAUACUUAGCAUACUCGAAGAUUUACCCCUUCAAACUCUUUCCGCCAUGCAUCGAAAACUCCGUGGAGUCAAAGAUUACAUUCCGAAGUUAAUCCCAAAAAGAUCCGGAUGGAAUCGCGACGUGUUGAUCAAGCGAUUGAGAGUUAAGUGUUUACGGUUCCUUUCGAAACUUAAUGAAGGAGAUUCAUUACAAGAACCAUUAGCAAAAGCAAUGGAAGUUGCAGGGUUGACUUUAAAGUUGAUUCAAGGAUAUCACUAUGCAACUAACUUCAUUCAAUUUUCACCCGAAAUUAUCUCUCUUCAAAACGAGAUUGCAAUGUGUAUCAAACUAGUUGACCAUAUUGAACUAAAAUUUUUAAAGAAAAUACAAAUUAUAAUCGACCCUGAUGUGAAAUUAUCUGAUUCGCCUUUACGGGUUAAGAAUUUGUUGAUGGAAUAUCUUUUAGAGUGUAGUGAUAUUGAGAACAUUCCACGGUCUUUAUUUAAAGUUCUUGCUAUUAUAAAGAAAAGUCCUAAAGGUAAAAAGAAACGUAUGGUGGAAAUGAAAGUAGAUGAAGAAGUGGAAUGUAUUUUGAACGUGAGUGCUUCUAUGAAGCAAGUUUUGUGGGAUGUGAUCCCGGAGGAUGAUUUUGACCUAAAGUUUGCUGGUGUGUACACGGAGGAUCAUGGAGAAAGUGAUGGUGAUGAUAUUUGUGAAGAUAAUGAACAACAUAUGGAAAAUAAUGUGUCUAAUUUCAGUGAUUUCAAUGAAGAAGUAGGAAGUACCGAGGAGAUUGAGAUCAAACUGGCUAAUUCCGAUUCCAUGGCGGGAAUUAGUUUGAUGGAAUCGGAUUCCUUGAAUAGUUUGAAAGUUACAAAUUCAAUGCCAUAUCACUUGGUGAGCUUUGGAAAUAUGGAAACGAAUCGAGUUUGUGAUAAAGAUUUAAGUUUGGAAAGGAAUUUAGUGUUUGAUGAUGAUAGGGGUAUUUGUGGAAAUCGGUACCUUGGUGUGCAAGUUGCUAGUGAUGAGGUGAGUAUGGUGGCGUAUUGUGUCAUUGGUCGUAUGUUGGGUGAUUUUGCACGAAUCGAAGGAUGUGAAUUGAAUUCCAGUGAUUUAUGUUAUCUUGAAAGUGGAAGCAAUGAUUUAAAUAAAAAAUUUAGUAAAGCUGCAAGAAAAGAAAAAACUACUCAUGAGGAAGAUGACUGUUCAAUCAUGAUUAAGGUAGUAGAAGAGCUAAUUCCCUCUUUUCCUAAAAGUGAAGCAGAUAGACUAAAGGAAUUGAUGGGUUGUAAAUAAGCAUCUAAGAAGCUGAUGAUGAAUCUAUACUUUUGGUACAACAUUUGAGGAAUCAGGAACAAUUUUGUGAUGAUUGCCAUGUAAAUUUGGAAAUGAUUAAACAUAAUUUGCUUUGGGCGUGUAGUUUUGUCCAUAAAUGCAAAGCUUUUAAGUGGGUCAAACGGGGGGAGUAUCAUGUCAAAAAAGCAUGGAGGGACCAUCCGUACCUCCAAGACUCCAUUCCUUCAAGCAGUGGGUCAAGCGGUUUGUCAUCUAAGCGGGUUUAUGAACCUGUUCGACCAUUUAUCAACCCAUGCAUUAUUAAGUAUUUAUGCUUUAAGAUUUGUACCAAAAAUAAUUUUAUAUGUUCUUAAAUUAGUUUUGUAUGUUUUUAAUUUUUUGUAAAUUAGUUUGUAUGAUUUUUAUUAAAAAUUGAGUGAGUUGAAUGGGUUGAGAAAUAUAGGUUUUCU